rnacentral:rRNA from 1 species
GACGAACGCUGGCGGCGUGCUUAACACAUGCAAGUCGAACGGAAAGGCCCUGCUUUUGUGGGGUGCUCGAGUGGCGAACGGGUGAGUAACACGUGAGUAACCUGCCCUUGACUUUGGGAUAACUUCAGGAAACUGGGGCUAAUACCGGAUAGGAGCUCCUGCUGCAUGGUGGGGGUUGGACAGUUUCGGCGGUUGGGGAUGGACUCGCGGCUUAUCAGCUUGUUGGUGGGGUAGUGGCUUACCAAGGAUUUGACGGGUAGCCGGCCUGAGGGGGUGACCGGCCACAUUGGGACUGAGAUACGGCCCAGACUCCUACGGGAGGCAGCAGUGGGGAAUAUUGCACAAUGGGCGGAAGCCUGAUGCAGCAACGCCGCGUGCGGGAUGACGGCCUUCGGGUUGUAAACCGCUUUCGCCUGUGACGAAGCGUGAGUGACGGUAAUGGGUAAAGAAGCACCGGCUAACUACGUG